rnacentral:rRNA from 1 species
UACGUAGACCUCAAGCGUUAUCCGGAUUUAUUGGGCGUAAAGCGCGUGUAGGAGGCCGAAUGCGUCUUUGGUUAAAUACCACCGCCUAACGGUGGGACUGCCCAAGAUACGAUUCGGCUGGAGGAGGUUAGAGGUAAGCGGAACCCACGGUGUAGGGGUGAAAUCCGUUGAUAUCGUGGGGAACACCAAAGGCGAAGGCAGCUUACUGGGACUUUCCUGACUCUAAGACGCGAAAGCGUGGGGAGCAAAAAGG